GAUGAACGCUGGCGGCGUGCCUAAUACAUGCAAGUCGAGCGAACAGACGAGGAGCUUGCUCCUCUGACGUUAGCGGCGGACGGGUGAGUAACACGUGGAUAACCUACCUAUAAGACUGGGAUAACUUCGGGAAACCGGAGCUAAUACCGGAUAAUAUAUUGAACCGCAUGGUUCAAUAGUGAAAGACGGUUUUGCUGUCACUUAUAGAUGGAUCCGCGCCGCAUUAGCUAGUUGGUAAGGUAACGGCUUACCAAGGCGACGAUGCGUAGCCGACCUGAGAGGGUGAUCGGCCACACUGGACCUGAGACCCGGUCCAGCCUCCUACGGGAGGCAGCAGUAGGGAAUCUUCCGCAAUGGGCGAAAGCCUGACGGAGCAACGCCGCGGGAGUGAUGAAGGUCUUCGGUUCGUAAAACUCUGUAUUAGGGAAGAACAAAUGUGUAAGUAACUAUGCACGUCUUGACGGUACCUAAUCAGAAAGCCACGGCUAACUACGUG
rnacentral:rRNA from 1 species